rnacentral:rRNA from 1 species
CCCCAUAAUAUAUUGAAUGGCAUCAUUUGAUAUUGAAAACUCCGGUGGAUAGAGAUGGGCACGCGCAAGAUUAGAUAGUUGGUAGGGUAACGGCCUACCAAGUCAGUGAUCUUUAGGGGGCCUGAGAGGGUGAUCCCCCACACUGGUACUGAGACACGGACCAGACUCCUACGGGAGGCAGCAGUGAGGAAUAUUGGACAAUGGGUGAGAGCCUGAUCCAGCCAUCCCGCGUGAAGGACGACGGCCCUAUGGGUUGUAAACUUCUUUUGUAUAGGGAUAAACCUUUCCACGUGUGGAAAGCUGAAGGUACUAUACGAAUAAGCACCGGCUAACUCCGUGCCAGCAGCCGCGGUAAUACGGAGGGUGCAAGCGUUAUCCGGAUUUAUUGGGUUUAAAGGGUCCGUAGGCGGAUCUGUAAGUCAGUGGUGAAAUCUCAUAGCUUAACUAUGAAACUGCCAUUGAUACUGCAGGUCUUGAGUAAAGUAGAAGUGGCUGGAAUAAGUAGUGUAGCGGUGAAAUGCAUAGAUAUUACUUAGAACACCAAUUGCGAAGGCAGGUCACUAUGUUUUAACUGACGCUGAUGGACGAAAGCGUG